GGGCGGUGUGUACAAGGCCCGAGAACGUAUUCACCGCGACAUGCUGAUUCGCGAUUACUAGCGAUUCCGACUUCAUGAAGUCGAGUUGCAGACUUCAAUCCGAACUGAGACAGCCUUUCCGAGUUUCGCUCCCUAUCACUAGGUCGCUGCCCUUUGUAACUGCCAUUGUAGUACGUGUGUAGCCCAAGCCAUAAGGGGCAUGAUGAUUUGACGUCAUCCCCACCUUCCUCCGGUUUGUCACCGGCAGUCUCUUAUGAGUCCCUAACUUAAUAUUGGUAACAUAAAACAAGGGUUGCGCUCGUUGCGGGACUUAACCCAACAUCUCACGACACGAGCUGACGACAACCAUGCACCACCUGUAUCCCAGUUAUCCUCCAGCCUAUCUCUAGACCUUCGCUCGGUAUGUCAAGGCUUGGUAAGGUUCUUCGCGUUGCUUCGAAUUAAACCACAUACUCCACCGCUUGUGCGGGCCCCCGUCAAUUCCUUUGAGUUUCACACUU
rnacentral:rRNA from 1 species